rnacentral:misc_RNA from 1 species
AAGUCGUAACAAGGUAACCGUAGGUGAACCUGCGGUUGGAUCAUUAAAAAAUGGUAUGGUUUGCAGUUUGGUUGAGAUUUCUCCUAGACUGCAAAUUUUUCCUCCAACCCUUUGUGCACACUUUAUUGUAUUUUGGGCAAGACUUUGUUUUGCCCAGCGGAUUAUUAACACCUCUUUAAUUUUGCCUGAAAUUAUUUUAUAAAUAAUAACAACUUUUGACAACGGAUCUCUUGGCUCUC